GGAGUUGUAGCUCAGUGGUAGAGCACUUGCCUUGCAAGCGUGAGGUCCUGAGUUCUAUCCUCAGCACCA
rnacentral:tRNA from 1 species